rnacentral:rRNA from 1 species
ACGGGAGGCAGCAGUAAGGAAUAUUGGUCAAUGGACGCAAGUCUGAACCAGCCAUGCCGCGUGAAGGAUGAAGGUCCUCUGGAUUGUAAACUUCUUUUAUCUGGGACGAAAAAAGGGCUUUCUAGCUCACUUGACGGUACCAGAGGAAUAAGCACCGGCUAACUCCGUCCCAGCAGCCGCUGUAAUACGGAGGGUGCGAGUGUUAUCCGGAUUUACUGGGUUUAAAGGGUGCGUAGGUGGGCAGGUAAGUCAGUGGUGAAAUCUUCGAGCUUAACUCGGAAACUGCCAUUGAUACUAUCUGUCUUGAAUGCCCUGGAGGUAAGCGGAAUAUGUCAUGUAGCGGUGAAAUGCUUAGAUAUGACAUAGAACACCAAUUGCGAAGUCAGCUUAGUACGGGGUG